rnacentral:lncRNA from 1 species
AUUAUGCAUUCUUUGUGACUCAGUCUAGAUGGGGUAAGAAAUGUCAAACUUAAGAUUAAAUGUUUUUAUGAUGAGUAGAAAACCAAGAUGAAAUAUGUUUUUCAGUAACUAAAAAGCAACUAAUUUAUUAAAAGACACUUGUAAAAGUAUGAUUGCUGAGUGUAUUUAAAGUUUCUUUUAUUUAGCCUUUAAUAGUUCUGAUCAAAAUCUUUGAAAAUUCAACUGGUAAGAAAGAUUAAGCUGAAACCUUACAGUGAAGUUAUAAUAACUGAGAAAUGUUAGGCUCCAAAUAGUUUUGGUGUUUUGUUUUGUUUUGUUUCAUUUUUUGUUUUUGAGAUGCAGUUCCACUCGUCACCCAGGCUGGAGUGCAAUGGCACGAUCUCGGCUCACUGCAACCUCCGCCUCCCAGGUUCAAGCAAUUCUCCUGCCUCAGCCACCUGAGUAGCUGGGAUUACAGGCACCUGCCACCACACCCAGCUAAUUUUUGUGUUUUUAGUAGGGACAGGGGUUCACGAUGUUGGCCAGGUUGGUUUCGAAUUCCUGACCUCAGGUGAUCCGCCUGCCUCAGCCUCCCAAAGUGCUGGGAUCACAGGUGAGCCACCACACCCAGCCCCAAACAGCUUUUUAACUUAAAAAAUAUCUGACUACCAACAGCUCACUCAAUCUUUUUUCCGGGGGAGGGGUUGCGGGGACAGGUUAGCAAAAGCCAGUAGAAUAUAUAAAUGGAGACUGGUUUUAAGAGUUCACCUAAAACCUAGAGAAGCAAAAGAGAAGAAAUAGGAAACAUGGCCACUUUACCGUAGAUUAGUAGUAGUAUCAUGAAGCCAAGACUGCGCUGCAUCUAAUCAAGGAUACGUGAUGAACACUACGUUUCUGUACACACAUCUUUGUUAAAACCAGUUUCUCAUACCUAAUUGCAGCAUUUGCAAUUAAGGAGAGUUUUGCCUUGCAAUGAUAGGUUCAAACAUUUUUACUACUUUGGUUUUUCCCACUGGAUCUACUGAAUCAAGCUUCGGGAGUGAGGAGGUUAUUUCCUCUCACUGCUCCAUCACCUGCAACCAACAUUUCUCCCUUGUGCAUUCAUUCUUUCAGACUACAUUUUAGAAUCUUCUGUAUGAACAGUAUGUAUUUUUCUAUAUUCAGAGUGAUAGUUUCUUAUGUAUUUAAAAUGUUUUCUAUUCAUGGCUAAGAAUUAUGUACAAUAGCAGGGAGACAACUGCUCUUAGCUGUAUGGUGAACUAGAUAUUCUGAAUUGUAACCGCCCCCUCCCACCUCCUCCAUACAACAUCCACAUGCUGGAUAAAUUACAGCAAUCAUACUUUAUUUAUUUAGAGAUGGCGUUUCACUCUUGUUGCCCAGGCUGAAGUGCAAUGGUGUGAUCUCAGCUCACUGCAACCUCCGCCUCCCGGGUUCAAGGAAUUCUUCUGCCUCAGCGUCCCGAGUAGCUGAGA